rnacentral:rRNA from 1 species
CUGGCCAUACAGCCUGUGUCUCUAUCCCCCUCAGAAGCUAAGAAGUCCAGGCCUGGUUAGUACUUGGAUGGGAGACUGCUGACAAUAUCAGGUGCCACACAGC